rnacentral:pre_miRNA from 1 species
AAGAUAUGUUUGUUAAAGGUGUCUGAUAAGAUAUGUGUUUAAAAACACAUAUCUUAUCAGACACCUUUUAAAACACAUAUCUU